rnacentral:rRNA from 1 species
GACGAACGCUGGCGGCGUGCCUAAUACAUGCAAGUUGAGCGCUGAAGGUUGGUACUUGUACCGACUGGAUGAGCAGCGAACGGGUGAGUAACGCGUGGGGAAUCUGCCUUUGAGCGGGGGACAACAUUUGGAAACGAAUGCUAAUACCGCAUAAAAACUUUAAACACAAGUUUUAAGUUUGAAAGAUGCAAUUGCAUCACUCAAAGAUGAUCCCGCGUUGUAUUAGCUAGUUGGUGAGGUAAAGGCUCACCAAGGCGAUGAUACAUAGCCGACCUGAGAGGGUGAUCGGCCACAUUGGGACUGAGACACGGCCCAAACUCCUACGGGAGGCAGCAGUAGGGAAUCUUCGGCAAUGGACGAAAGUCUGACCGAGCUACGCCGCGUGAGUGGAGAAGGUUUUCGGAUCGUAAAACUCUGUUGGUAGAGAAGAACGUUGGUGAGAGUGGAAAGCUCAUCAAGUGACGGUAACUACCCAGAAAGGGACGGCUAACUACGUG